rnacentral:tRNA from 1 species
GUGGGUGCGCAUUGGCGAGCGCAGCGGUCUCCAAAACCGUGGCCUGUAGUGGGCCUUGUCAGUUCGAAUCUGACCACCCGCGCCA